AGAGCAUGUUAGAAGGACAUCUCCUAAUCACUUGCUUAUAUCUUUCCCAAGCUUCAUAGAGGGAUUCAUCUUCUUUUUGUCUGAAAGUUUAGACUUUCACUCUGAUUUU